AUUCUUCGGUGGAUCUUGUUGGUCUCUCUAUUGUUAGAAAGCAAGCUUAGUUUCUUGUUCACAGCAUAAAUUAAACGAGAAUCAGAUCGGUUGAGAAGAGAAAGCUGGCAAAUAAGUGGUGGGAGAGAGUAGAUGUGGCGAUGGCGGCGUAUCAGCCAACAGCAACAGGUGCAGGUUCUCGCUAUGUUCACCAACUCCUCAGACCCGAGCUGCAUCUUCAAAGACCUUCAAUUCCUGGCCAACUAUCCCCGGAUUCUAAGGACAACACCUCACCUCAAGCCAAAGACCACAACGAUGCUGACACCGACGCCGCCGCCACCAGCUCUGGAAGCAAUCGCCGCCCUCGAGGCCGCCCUCCUGGCUCCAAGAAUAAACCCAGGCCCCCGAUUAUUGUAACGCGUGACAGCCCCAAUGCCCUCCGAUCCCACGUGCUGGAGGUUUCCGCUGGCAGCGACAUCAUGGAGAGCGUGUCCAAUUAUGCGAGGAAGAGAGGAAGAGGAGUCUGUGUACUCAGCGGCAACGGGACAGUUGCCAACGUUACACUGAAGCAACCAGCGUCUCCUGCAGGGAGUGUGGUGACUUUGCACGGUAGGUUCGAGAUUCUUUCCCUCUCUGGAACUGUGCUUCCUCCACCAGCGCCGCCUGGGGCAGGGGGGUUGUCUAUAUUCUUGUCUGGUGGACAGGGGCAGGUUGUUGGAGGAAGUGUUAUAGGACCCUUGGUGGCUUCUGGGCCGGUGAUUUUGAUGGCUGCAUCGUUUGCAAACGCUGUGUUUGAGCGAUUGCCUUUGGAUGAGGAGGAGGGAAAUGUUCAAGUUCAGUCCACGGCUUCACAAUCUUCAGGUGUGACAGGAAGUGUUGGGGCUGGGCAACUGGGUGAUGGUGUAGGAGGAGGCAGCGGUAGUGGGAGCGGCAGCGGAGGUGCUUUUUUUUAACAUCGGAGGGAAUGUGGGGAAUUAUCCGUUUUCAGGUGAUUUGUUUGGAUGGGGUGGGAGUGGUGCAAGGCCACCAUUUUAAAUAGAAAACUAUUAUCAGAAUAUAUCAUUUUGUAUGAUAAAAAUUUAUGGG
rnacentral:misc_RNA from 1 species